UCUAGAACUCGAGAUAUGGGUUGAACACUGAAUAGUGUCUAGGCUGUAGGACUGAUUCUAACUUCUCUAUUGUUGCUAAGAUCUAGACUUCCAACAAUAGAAUUGAGUCUUGCACUCCUCAUAAAUGAUUAGGCUAUGUCUUAACUUCUAGC
rnacentral:pre_miRNA from 1 species